rnacentral:rRNA from 1 species
CCCUUAGAUGUCCUGGGCCGCACGCGCGUUACACUGAUGCAUUCAACGAGCUUAUAACCUUGGCCGAGAGGCCUGGGCAAUCUUGUUAACGUGCAUCGUGAUAGGGAUAGAUUAUUGAAAUUAUUAAUCUUGAACGAGGAAUUCCUAGUAAACGCAGAUCCUCAAUCUGCAUUGAUUACGUCCCUGCCCUUUGUACACACCGCCCGUCGCACCUACCGAUUGGAUGGUCCGGUGAAGCCUCGGGAUUGUGGUUCUUGCCGCUUUAUUGUGGCGUGACCGCGAGAACUUGUCUAAACCUUAUCAUCUAGAGGAAGGUGAAGUCGUAACA